UCGCCAUCUUCUUGUAGUUGUGGACAUUCAUCGAUAUAAUAAGAGUUGAUUACAUGCAUAAAUUUCAUACACUCUAAGCAAUCCUUUAAGUUGAAAAGGUGGUAUUGAUCCUUAAAUUCGAGGGAACUCUUGUUGAUCUUGAUGGAUUUGUCGAAGCAAUGAGGUCAUCUGAUCUCUCCAAGAAUUCUUGUUAAGGCGAAUUGUCGAAUAAAGAUACUUCAACAAUAGCUCUUGAAUAGGAAGUUUUUGUCUUGAGGUGUCAUGUUGCUUCUGCUAAAUCUGAGAUCACUUGCUAUGCUUUCUUCGGUGUCUUGUGGCAAGUGCUGCUCCACUAGAUGCAUCAAGCGAAGCCUUAUCCUCCAUAUGUAACUCCUCGCAAAAGUAGUUGAUAAGUACAAAUUUUUAAUUUGAUGGCAUGAGGAACAAAGCUUCUUAAACCUCUACUAAUAUUUAUAGUGUCCCUUCAUGCAUUUGAGUGAUUCUAGAAAUUUCUUUCCUUAUACAAUUAGUCAUUCAGGAUGGAAAGAAUUUCUUAGAAAAUGUCUUUUUGAACAACUCCUAAUUGGCAACUACCUCUUUUAAUAUUCUUAUAGUGAAAUGUUGUUUUGCCACUAACAAUGAAGUAGUGCUAUUGAUCCAGUUUAGGAGGGGGGGAGAACUAGGUCACAACUAAAGAUCCUUCUAGGAAAUGGUUAUUUUUGGGUUGGCAGUGUUAGUUUUGGGUUGGGUUGGUUGACAUGGUUCAUGAAAAAAAAAAAAUCAUAAAAGGAGGAAUGUAGUUUAGUUAAUAUAUCUAAAAUUUCUAUCUUUAUUAGAUAUUCUCUUCGCAUCCAGAUUUAAAUUUUCUAGGCAAGGAGUAAUUUGGCAAAACACAAACAUAUGAUCGUGAUUAUUAUGUUAAAAUAUAUUACUACAUCCAAAGAUUAGAGUAUUAGACCACUUUAAUUAUAACCCCUGAAAGUUAUAUCACUUUUCAACAAAGAUACGUGAUAAAUUUCAAAAAUAGGGGUGGUGCAAAAUAAGGUGUACCAAUCUUUGCAUGUCUCAGUGCUAAAGAUUCUUGAAAUUAGAGAAUUAAUGCGGCUGGAUUUCUCAAAGACAAUGAUUCUCAUUUCAAUACUCUUUUUCUAUAUAUUGAGCAUAUGUAUCAUGGAAAAUCAUCUUCAUUUGAAUCAUAUAAAGAAGCUUUGAGAAAUGCAAACAUCAUAAGAUAUUUGAAUUCAAUGCAAGUGUAUGUUAGUAGACUAUGAUGCUAUUCUUCUACACAUCCAAAAAAUUUUAAAUACUCAUAAUUCUCCUAUACUUAUUUAUGGAGGCUUUUAUGGUGAAAUGCUUGGAGCAUUGUUUUGUCUAAAGUAUCUUUAUAUUGUUCUUAGUGUUUUGACUUUGCUAAAAUCAAUUUUUUUUUUUUAUUAAAACAAGUGAAAGGUACUACCAUAUUAUACGAAAAUUUUGGUAUAAAAUUGAUGAAAUAGCCAGAAAAUAUCCUGGCCUCUUAAUUCUGAAUAAGAGAUUUCAUAUUUGCAAAAAAUUGAGAAAAGUUGAAGUUACAAAAAAUAUUUGAACCAUGUAUAUUACACCAUAGUUUAGUAUAAUAUACCAUUAGUUGAGAGAAUAUGUAGUGUUAUUAAUAAAGCAACUAAUAAAACAUAUAUGAUUGGUUAAAUAUUUGAAAUUGUUAUAGUUUAUAAUCACUACAAAAUUCUUCAUGCUAUGAUAUAAAUAAAUCUGAUUAUCUAAACAAACAAUUUUUAGAUGACUUAACAUGGAUUGAUAAGCAUAUAGUAAGAUGUUGGUCCAAUUAGUAUUUAUAAGAAUGAUUCAAUGUUUUGACUGUAUCCUUUUAGUAAGAAGGAUUAUAUCAAUUCAUGCAAGUAAGAAUAUGGCAUAAUUCUGCUGUCCCAUUAGGUAACAACAUAUUAUGGAGUCAGGAUAUAAAAUUGGUUUUCCAGCGAUUUGCUAACUAUAUCGUUUUCUCUAAUAGAUUGAAAGAUCCAUACAGCUCAGUCAGGGUGUUAGAGAGCUUAUCAAACAGUCUUAUUACUGUUAUCAAUAUUAAUGGAAUUCAUUCUUUGACAUAGUCUCAUCACAAUAAAGUAAUCCACAAUAGUUGAUCAAUCAAAGAUACACUAAGAUCAAUAUAAUUACAAGUUGGAUUGCACAACAUCAAGUUGAUCGAUUAAUUAGUUAAUAAAAUAAAUAAAUAAACAAAUAAUGAUAAAAGCUUUUUAUCAUUACUAAUUUAUUUAUUUAUUAACCAAUUAAUUGAUCAAUUUGAUGAUGUGCAAUCUAACUUAUAAUUAUAUUGAUCUCAGUGUGUCUUUGAUUAAUUAACUAUUGCGGAUCAUUUCGUUGUGCUAAGAGUACGUCUAAGAAACGAGUCUCAUUAACAAUUAUAACACCAAUAAGACUAUUUGAUAAACUCUCUAACACUCAGAUUGAACUGUAUGAAUUUUUCAAUUCAUUAAAAAAAACGAUAUAACUAGCAAAUUACUUGAAAAUCAGUUUUAUAUCCUGACCCCAUAAUAUGUUUUUUAGCCAAUAGGGUAGUGAAAUUAUGCCAUAUUCUUGCUCAAAUGAAUUGCUAUAAUCUUUCUUAUUAAAAAGAUACAAUUAAAACAUUAAAUUAUUCUUAUAAAUACUAAUUGGACUAACAGCUUGCUACAUGCUUAUCAAUCUAUAUCAAAUCAUCUAGAGAUUAAUUGUUUGUUUGGAUCAUUACAUCUAUUUAUAUCAUGGUAUGAAUUUUUUUUAUAAUGAUUAUAAACUAUAACAGUUUUAAAUAUUUGACUAAUCAUAUGUUUUAUUAGAUACUCUAUCAAUGACACUAUAUAUCCUCUCAACUAAUGGUGUAUUGUACUAAGCUAUAAUGCAAUACACAUGAUUCAAAUAAUUUUUCAUAACUUUAAUUUUUUUUUAAUUUUUUGCAAAUUUUAAAUCUCUUAUUGAGAAUAUAGAGACCAAGAGGCUUCUUGGUUAUUUUAUCAAUUUUAUACCAAAAUUUGUAUAGUACGGUAGUACCUUUCAUUUAUUUCUAUUAAAAUAAAAAAUUGGUGCUAACGAAGCCAAAUUACUAAGAGCGAUAUGAAGAUACUUUAGACAAAACAAUAGUACAAGCAUUUCACCAUAAGAGUCUCCAUAAACAAGUAUAGAAGAAUUAUGAGCAUUUAAAAAUUUUUUAGAUGUGUAGAAAAAUAGCAUUAUGGUUUACUAACACUUGCGUUGAGUUCAAAUAUUCCAUGGUAUUUGUAUUUCUCAAAGCUUUUUUAUAUGAUUCAAAUAGAAAUAAUUUUCCAUAAUACAUAUGCUCAAAAUAUAGAAAAAGAAUACUGAAAUGAGAAAUAUUAUCUUUGAAAAAUCCAACAGCAUUGAUUCUAUGAUUUCAAGAAUCUUCAGCAUUUAGCCAUGCAAAGAUUGAGGCACCUAAUUUUACACCACCUCAAUUCUUAAAAUUUAUUACGUACCUUUGUUAAAAAAUGAUAUAAUUUUUAGGAUUAUAAUUAAAAUGAUCAAAUCUUUGGAUGUAGUAAUAUAUCUUAACAUUAUCAUCAUGAUCAUAUAUUUGUGUUUUGCUAAAUUAUUCCUUGCAUAAAAAAUUUGAAUCUAGAUGCAAAAAAAAUGUCUAAUAAAAAUAAAAACUUCAGAUAUAUUAACUAAGCUUUCUUUUUAUGAUUUUUUUUGUUUUUGUUUUUUUGUAAUGACUAUGUCAACAAACCCAACUUGAAACUAACUUUGCCAACUUGAAAAUAACCUUACUCCAGAAGGAUCUUUAGCUAGUUGCAAUCCGAUUCUCCCUCGGCUCCUGAACUCGAUCAAUAGCACAACUCCAUUAUUGUUGGUGGCAAAACAACAUUUAAUUUCGCGCUUGAACUCGCUUGAGCUCCGUCGCCAGCUUCUUUUGAAUUUAUCGCUAGUUUGAUCGUUUUCCACUAAUGUCUACUCCAGAGUUUCCUUGCUCCUCUAAUAUGUCAGCGUGCGGGUUCGUAACUAUUUAAAAGUUUUGUAUUGGCCGAAAUUUGAAUAGGAGACUUGACGGAUGGAGAGCAGCUUAACAGCUUUUUGUUGUAUGUUAUGCUGCAGUUGGUAGCAGUACUCGUUAUUGGUUUUCUAGCAAGAUUGUAAUCAGAAACAAAUAAUUUAUUAAUUUUUUUUAACAAGACAAUCAUGUGGCGUCAGGUGUAAAGCUAAAAACCUAUGCGUCUAGUGUGUGAGACUAACUUAGAUUAUUUAGUUUCCUGUAACAAUGGUAUAUAUCAUCGUCAUAUAUAGUGCAACUAACAUAAGAAAGAGUUAGUACACAAUUAUUCUUCUUCUUAAAAGACCCUAACAUAGUAUAAUAAUUAUAAUAUAUAUCUUAUAAGACAAAUAUUUUCUUUUUAUUUCUAAAACUCCAAUGAUCUAAGAAAANNNNNNNNNNNNNNUGUUAUAAAAAAGAUACAAACAACGUUUUUCUCUACUUUGGUUUAUGAAUAAUAUUUUCUCCACUUUUAAGGGUAUAUAUGACUAGAUCUAUGCAGUUAUUCAACAUAGUAGUAAUUUUACGAGGUUCACAUUAACAUGCAUAAGUAGGGAAGGAAGUUACCUGUAAAAGUAUACACGAGUGAGCUCAGUUCAGAUCAGAAUUAUCAAACGAACGCUUCCAACUCUUUCUCAGCAAUUACAAUAAGCUCUCUCCUCUUCAACAAAACACAAGGAAGAAAUGAGCAGAGAGAUGUUGUUUGUUUUAGUAAAGUGUUUCUGGGUUCUCCAUUGUUAUUAUUAGGUGAAGAAGAAUUAAGAGGGGGGAGGGAGUGAGUUGGUGUGAGUGUGUCAGUGAGCACUCUUUGAAUCAUGUGACUUGUUC
rnacentral:lncRNA from 1 species